UUCCAGCUUCCUUCCUUGCCUCUUCAUUCAUUGGUGUGAGGAUUAGGUAGGGCUGCCCCCCACUUUUUUUUUUUUUCUUUAAGGAGCGCAACUUUAUUUAAACAAUCCGUUGGCUGGCGAAGGCGUCAGUGGGGUAAAUUCUCAGACCAUGGCAGAAUUCCUGAGGGGUGGUAUGGCCUGGGCUAUGGCUCACACAUGGAGGAAGGAGGCGGCACGGCCAAUAGAGUAGUCUAAGGAGAGGGUUCUAGCAAGGGCAGGGUUUGAUGAAGGAGCAUGGCUGCUAUCCCUAGAUUUAUAGCGCUUGCCCUAUGGAGUGAGGCACCGGGAGUGCGCGCGGUGAGAAGCGUAGACACCCCCACGACUACACUAGGGAUGGGCGCCCUGACCUCACCCAAUUUGAGAAAACAGGCUGAAAAGAAAAGUCUUUCUAGAAUAGACUGUCCCUGGCGAGCUGCUGGCCAACUCUCCGUAGAUCACGGCACUACAUUUUGCCCUAAUUAGGCCGAGACAGCUGUGGGCCCAGUAGCUUUGCCAUAGGGCUCUCCUCUUACAGCUUCAGGCCAUCUCUCAUUUGUAAAGCAGCUCUGUUACAUAACAGCCCUUCAAAAAGAUAUCCCACGAGCCACUUCCCUGAAGCAAAGUUCUCUCAGUUCAGGGUGAUUUCCAAGUCCUGUCAUUGUUUCCUUGACUUGUCUUCAAAUGUUACUGAUUUAACUUUUGACACUUUAGCCUUGGGCAGCAAGUUAAAGCAAAAAAAUCUAUCCUUUGUCUUUUAGAAUCUAGUCUUGUCCCUUCUCUGACACGGCAUAUACGAUCAUUUUUACUACUGGCUUCAAUGCAGCAUUUAUUGCAACCGUUUCAAGUAAACAUUUUUUAAGGAGUGCAACUUUAUUUACAACAAUCCGUUGGCAAAGGGGUAAAUUCUCAGACCAUGGCAGACUUCCUGAGUGGUGGUAUGGCCUGGGCUGUGGCUCACACAUGGAGGAAGGAGGAAGGCCAAUAGAGCAGUCUAGGGAGAGGUUUUUUAAAAAUCUCCAACUAUAUGAAUAAUUUUAAGGUAUUAGUUGAGGUACAACUUUUACCCUAUCAAGUAUAUUCUGCCUAUAAAAUAACGUUUCCUUAAGAUGAGGCAAAUUUCAUUUCUCUAGGAUUUUAAAGCUUUAUUUCUCUACUUCAGAAGUUAAACGUUCUUGUUUUUCCUACCUUUUUAAAUAGGAAAACUAUGAGAGAGAGAGAGAGAGAGAGGAGAGGGAGAGAGAGAGAGAAGAACAGAGCUCCCUGACCUUGUUGUAAAGCUUGAUGUUGGUGCCAGGAGUGGUGGAGCCAAAAUGAUACACAAGAGGUGCCUGGAUGGAGAAACCUUCUUCCACAUCUGCGGGUCGCUCAAUGUACAGGGCCCCCAUGGUACCAGGAAUGGACACAGAGCCCUGCCCUACAUCCAACUCCACGUAAGUAGGACGUCGGCCCAAACGCACUGCGUAGUUGAGUAGCAGCCGGCACACCGUGGACUUGCCCACAUCAGUAGGACCCACAACCAUCACUCGGGGGCCUCUCUCUUCUUCCUUUUCUGCCUGCCUCCGCAUCUGCUCCAAGGCUGUAUGAGUGUUAAGGUAAAGCAACAUAGGGGUGUCCUUAGAGACAUAAGCCACCUCGGUCCGGCCACUCAACUGCAGAGAACAGCCAUGCCAAGUGAAAACAGCCACCUUGGCACCAGCAUCAAAGGUGAAUUUCUUGUUUCUGGUCAGUUCUGUGCCAAAGAUCUCUGCCAUGCCAGCCAGCAACUCCAACUGAACUGACUGAGAUGCCUCCACCUCAAAUCGAAGCUCUGUUUCUCGCUCUAGUUCAAACUUGGUCGUUGGCUUCUUGUCAUCAUUGGAUUCCUCACUCAUCUUUUCUGUUGAGCUGCUGUGCCUAGAACCCAAAUUAAAUAUUAGAUCAAAUCACUAUUCAAAAA